rnacentral:rRNA from 1 species
UCGGAACGGUCGGGUUGGUCCGCCCUUCGUGGUGUGUUACUGGCCUUGGUGGUAUGGUCGGGGUGUGUUGCCUGCAAGGGUAGCAUGCUUCGGUCUGCCGCCCUUGUCGCGUGUAUUGCGUGGCAAGUGAUCGUUCUUCUCCCUCGGAGACGAAGUCUGUCCUUAAUCGGGUGGGCUUUGGAUGCGAGGUGUUUACUUUGAAAAAAUUAGAGUGUUCAAAGCAGGCUUCUAUCUUAGCUUGAAUACAUUAGCAUGGAAUAAUGGAAUAGGACUCUGUGUCUAUUUUGUUGGUUUGAAGGCAGAGAGUAAUGAUUAAUAGGGACAGUUGGGGGCAUUCGUAUUUAAUUGUCAGAGGUGAAAUUCUUGGAUUUCUGAAAGACGAACAACUGCGAAAGCAUUUGCCAAGGAUGUUUUCAUUAAUCAAGAACGAAAGUUAGGGGUUCGAAGACGAUCAGAUACCGUCGUAGUCCUAACCAUAAACAAUGCCGACUAGGGAUCAGCGUACGUUCGUUUUCAUUGGACGUCGUUGGCACCUUACGAGAAAUCAAGAGUUUUUUGGGUUCUGGGGGGAGUAUGGUCAAGAGCGUCGGGAACACA